rnacentral:lncRNA from 1 species
AUUAAGUGAUAUUAUUUUACAAGGUGCUAGGAGACAAUUAGAUGUUAACUAGAUAGCUUAACCAUUGGAAGAUAAGAGGAUUAGAUCAAACCCUAAUAGGGCCAAGUGUCAUGAAACCAAUGGAGGGUGGACUUUGACCACUAUUCAUCACCUUUACUAAAUACCCAAAAUUGAUCAAAAUCAUCUUCAUUCUUCUUGUGUCUUGGCCGAAUUCUUGAGGAGAAAAAACAAGAAGAAAGCCUUCAACUCCAACUCUAUUUUCUUGCUCAAUCUUGAGGUUCAACCAACCAAAUCACAAACUACUCCAUAAAAGUUGUUUGCUAAGAAGGAUUAAAGCUUGUAGUGGAGUGAUUUUGGGAGGAAAGAUACUAAGUUACUAUCUUUCAAGUGUUUCUAAGGUAUCUUGCCAAGUAAUCUCUUUUUACUCCUAAUACUAGCUUCUUUGUGGUUCAAGGUUGCAAAAUAUGUAGCUUUAUGCGAAUAUUUCAUGAUUUGAAGUAGUUUCAUGGUAAAUUUCAGUUUUAUAUUGAAAAAUUCUGCUCACUUGUGAAGCUUAAGGGUUGAUCAUGAUUUAUUAGCUUUGAUAUAUGGAAAAGCUUGUGUCUAGGUGCUAGUUAACUUUGCCUAAAGAAAUUCCAGCUUUGAUGUGUAAAUUUCAGCUUUAGGGUUUUAAUUUGACCAUGAUUGGGGGUAGUUUUGGAGCUACCAAUUGGUUGUAUCUUAAGGGUGUUUCAUAGACUAUGAUUUGUAUGUGCAAUGGUGAUUGUUUGUUAUGAAAUUUGGUGGUUGAUGGUAGCAUGGUAAAGUAUGGAAAUCUAGGGGAAGUGCUGCUGAAAUUUUCGCAGGACCCUUGAGCAGUCUUGGGGAAUCUGUUAUAUCUUGAUGUAGAAAAAUCGGAAUUGAGUUCCGUUUAUUGCGUUUUAAACUAGAUUCAUAGGGCUAUAAACCGUGUAAAUUUCAGACCCUGUUUCUGUUUGUGUAAUUUAUGGUGAUUUUUCAAAAUUGACUGAAAUAUUGUACCUGUUCUGUCUUUCACUGGAUAAAGCAGCAAUUUGAGGCUUGAAUUUGACUGACUUGCGUUCUGAAUCUUACAAUGGUGUUUUCUGGAAAGUUGUAGCUCGUUGAAUGUAUUUUCCAACGGUAUAAAUUUUAUCAAUUUUGAACUUAAGUAGCUUGAGAUAUGAUUUUUCAUAUAGAGUUGUGCAAAACUGAAAAAUCUUGUUUUCCUAGAAUUGUCCUUACUCUCAUUUUCCCACCUCAAAUUGGGAUUAGUAAAUCGUUGUAGGUAUGGUUUUAGGUUGAAGUGAAGGGUCUUGGGGUCACUCUUGUCCCUAGGAUCAACUAUUACUUUGCUACUCAAAAGUUACCUUUUAUUUUUUUGCAUUUGUAGUUUAUUUGCAUAGGCAUACGACUUGUAGCCGAGCUCCUGUGCAUUCCGAUUACUAGGUUUUGGAUGUGGAAAUCUCAAUUGUUUUACCUUGGUUCUUUUAGGGUUUCUUGGCGAUUAAAGCCUCUUUGGGUGAAAACUUUUGAAGCAUCUGUACUUAAACUGAUGAGUGUACUAUUUCCCUGGAUUAUUGCUAAACUGGUUAUCUGUACUUGUACCUUGUUACUUGAAUGCCUGUUUAUUUUGUACGAGACGAGGGUGUACUUUAAGAAGAAAAACAAGAAGGCCAAACACAAACUUAAAAGCAUACUCAAGAAGAAAAGAAAAAACAGCAGGUCUCUGGGUUUACAAAUACUUCUAACUUUCUUUCAGUGCUUUUGGAUGGGUUAGGAUGGAGAUUUUGUUGUGGCUUUCCUUUUUUUUGGCCCAAAGACUAAUAGUAUUUCAAACCUUUGGGUUAUUAAUCAAAAGAUUAACAAAUCCUGGUACGAAAAAUGUUUCUCUCUUUUGAAUAAAGGGAAUUGUAAAAAUUUAGGGAAAUAUUGGAGCUUACCGAUCAAGAUGAUUUCUAUGUCUCAUGCAUUUCGUAGUUUCAAAUCCAGACUAAUUCUAACAAGGGAAAAAAAUCAGUUAGAAUCAUAUAAUUAAAAAUAGAAAAGAGUAGAAAGGGAAAAGGGGAGGGGAAGACCAACUAAAAAACAACAAAAAGGAACAAAGGAACAAAGAAAAGAAUACAAAAAUGGAAAGGAGAGCAGCUUUGGAGUGGAAUGAGGUGAAAAGAAGACGAGAAACCCUCGAACAAAACUCUUGGCACAUGAGAAACGCAUGAGUGACGAUCACAUUUUGACCAAUGGUAGCACGCUACAUCAGCAAUUGAAAUCAAUUGGAAACACUUGCAUUCCCAAUAGACUAGAUAUGUUAAUGAUUAAUGAUUUCUGCUUUGUGGUCAUGCAAUGUUGAAUCAGUUUACUGUACCAUGUGAACUUCUUAUCUUUCCUUAGCCCCCGCAACUUUGUCCUAUUUGAGUGCCAACUAAUGUUUGGGGUAUGUAAUGAUGCAAUAAGAAGGAUAAGAAUUUGGUGGGAUGAUCAAUUAACGUUUUAUGACAUAGCGAGUAACACUUCCAUCCAAAUAGACAAGGAAAUCUGGUAAAUGCGCUGUGUACACUCCGACAUCUUACAAACAUCAAUAAAUUUCCAAGCCAUUCUCAUUCUGAGUUUUAACAAGAAUUACACUUAUUUUCUGGUUUUAUUGUAUGUUUGGGUACAACAAUCAAGUUUUGCAGUUACAUCUGACAAGACCAAGCAAACUUCAAGAAAAGUUAUAAAAUUAUAGAGGAUCUAAUUUACGAUGUGUCAUAGGUAUGCCAACGGAUGGGUUGGACUAACCUAUCUUUGCAUACGGUCGGAGUAAAGGAUGAUUGGAUGGACACAGAAGAUUAUAGCUUUUAUUGCAACUGUAGCUUUUGCAUUCGUUGUUAAAGCUAAUGUUGUCCUGUUUGUUGGAGGUAAAGCUGCUGAGAGUCCACAAAUGACAGGCGAGUUCUAACAAACAGCUGAAGAAACUUCUGGACAUUAUCCUUCGCUGUGCAUGUUCCCUUGCUCCAAAUCAUGGUAUUGACCCCAGAAGCUUGAUUUGAUUAAUCCUACUUGUGAGAAGGGAACACAAUGGCAAAGCCUAUAGCUCUGAUUUACUGACACCAUGAAUUAUUGUCUCAAGUUAAAUCAGCUUGGCCACUCAAUUUUCAGUUUUCUUCCCAAAGUUCGACUAGAAAAACCAUAGUUAUUAAACCCGGCUCAAAAGGGAACUGACGAAAGAGGUGGGUGAAUGAGUUACUGAUUCAACCAGUGAGUGAGUGGUUCAACCGGUGGGUCACUAAAUAUAUUUAAAUAUUAUAUUUCAUAAUUUUUGAUAUAGUUAAAACUAUAAUAAAUUAUGUCAUAGUAAAUGCUGAAUUUGUCUAAUUUAUUAUAGAAUCAUUAAUUCUUAUAAAAAUUAAUAAAACCUAAAUUCAAUUAGUAAUCUAUCAAAUUUCAAGUAUAAAAUUUUAUUGAAGUGUAAUUAUCUAGUUUAUUUAUGAAUUUUAGGUGCAAAAGAUUAUUAGACAUGAAUUGUGUGUAAUUAUUAUGAUAGUUAUUAAACGAUAUUAGAAUGAAUUGUGUGAUAUGUUAUGUUUUAUAUUCAUUUCAUAAUUUAUAGAGUUUGGGGAGUAAUAAAAUUUAUUAAAAGAUUCCAAAUAAAUUUUAUUUUUAAAAAAAUAAAAUAAGGAUAAAAGUCUAAUAGAUAAUAUAAAAAAGACUAAGCAAUCAAUAAAUGAGUUGUUGCUGUAGUGGUAAUUGCAUUUGCAUAUAUACAAGAAGUUAGGGUUCAAAUCAUCACAUCUAAAAAUUUUUAACAUGUAAACUGGGUUCCCUAUAAAAACGAAUGGUUCACCGGAUUGACCGAUUAAACCGUCAAUCCGUUAAAAAGUCAACGAUUCACUUGUAGGAAUGUUUGAAUCAACAAUUCGGCCUGGUUCAAUGACCAGUUCACCGACUUGACCAGUCGAACCACCAGAUCAAGUUGGGUUUAAUAACUAUGAGAAAAACUCCAAGUCUAUCGCUAGCUACAUGUGCUCGACGUACAUAAAUAAUCUAACAAGAAACUAAUUCAGGAAUUGGGCUUAGACAUGCUUCCUGAGGCUGUAGAGCUUAGCCCAAGAUUUAACUGAUUCAACCAUUAGUUAAAACUUAAAAGAAAAUACUGUUCUGUUCCCGAUUUGAUAAGUUUGCUGAAUCGGAAAUCUACAAGAGAUGUGAAUGGACACCCUCGCUUGCCGCAAUGUUUCUUUUUCUUGGUUUUUUGCCCUUUUUUUUCUGCUAGUAAUUAAUUCUCGUUCUUUUUCACUCCCUCAUUUUCAGUAAACUUUGAUCAAUUUAAUUGAUUCCUACCCCCUAUUGCGUAUAUGCUUGUACCAAGUAUGUCUUUCCUAAUAAUUAUUCUUUUGUAUUAACAUUUGUUCCGAUGUUUUUUUCCUUUGAAGGUAAAUGCACUGGUGACUAAGUAGCUUACAAGAGAAGUACAAGAUAUAAGGUGCCUUGCUUCCAUUUAGAAAAACAUGCAACCUAUCUAGUUUACAAGUCUGCUACUACGAUUAUGC